GCCUGGGACAGGGUCCCACUGGGACACUUACCUCCUUCUUCUGUCUUCCCCCAGCGGGACCUCUUGGGUCCCCCAGGACCUCCUGGGCCCCCCGGCCCCCCAGGACCUCCAGGUGCAGAAGUUACCCCGGAGACUCUGCUUCGCGAGUUUCAGGAGCUGCUGAAAGGUCAGCCGCCCCGCACUGCCCAGAGUCCCGACGUGCCUGGGCCCCACGCUGACCCUGUUGGCGGCCUGUGCCCUCCUCCCCACAGAGGCCACGGAGCACCGGUUCUCAGGGCUCCUGGACCCACUGCUGCCCCAGGGGGUGGGCCUGUGGCUGGUGGGAGAGGCCUUUCAUUGCCGGCUGCAGGGCCCCCGCCGGGUGGACAAGCGGACACUGGUGGAGCUGCAUGGUUUCCAGGCUCCUGCUGCCCAAGGUGCCUUCCUGCGAGGCUCCGGUCUGAGCCUGGCCUCAGGUCGGUUCACAGCCCCCGCGUCCCCUGGCCUCAGGUCGGUUCACAGCCCCCGCGUCCGGCAUCUUCCAGUUCUCUGCCAGUCUGCACGUGGGUGAGCCGGAUGGGGCUGGCUGUGCCGUGUGCUGUGACGGGGCUGGGGCUGAGCUUUCUGGGGGCGCCUGGCAUCGCCAGCCCCGGGCACGGGUCCCAUUAGAGAUCUGCCCCCUGCCCCAUGGGGGCCUUGGACUGGGCAUGGGGUCCCUGCUGCACACCCGGCCUCAGGCC
rnacentral:lncRNA from 10 species